rnacentral:rRNA from 1 species
GUGAAGCCCCCCUCAAGAUGAGAUAUCCCAUCCGAAAGGAGUAAACCCCCUUGAAGACGACGAGGUUGAUAGGGCAGAGGUGGAAGUACGGUAACGUAUGGAGCUGACUGCUACUAAUAGGGUGAGGGCUUGACCAA